rnacentral:rRNA from 1 species
UACGUAGGGACCGAGCGUUGUCCGGAUUCAUUGGGCGUAAAGAGCUCGUAGGCGGCCACUCAAGUCGAAUGUGAAACCUCGAGGCUCAACCUCGAGCCUGCAUUCGAUACUGGGUGGCUAGAGUCUGGUAGGGGGAUCUGGAAUUCCUGGUGUAGCGGUGGAAUGCGCAGAUAUCAGGAGGAACACCGGUGGCGAAGGCGGGAUCCUGGGCCAGUACUGACGCUGAGGAGCGAAAGCGUGGGGAGCAAACAGG